rnacentral:rRNA from 1 species
AGCAGCCGCGGUAAUUCCAGCUCCAAUAGCGUAUAUUAAAGUUGUUGCAGUUAAAAAGCUCGUAGUUGAAUUUCGGGACCAAUAUGUCGGUCGUGCCUCGGUACGUACUGGUGUCAUUGGUUUCUCCCUUCUGAGGAUCCUUGAUGUCAUUAAUUUGGUGUCUUGGGGAAUCAGGACUGUUACCUUGAAAAAAUUAGAGUGUUUAAAGCAGGCAUACGCUUGAAUACAUUAGCAUGGAAUAAUGAAAUAGGACGUUCGAUUCUAUUUUGUUGGUUUCUAGGAUCGACGUAAUGAUUAAUAGGGAUAGUUGGGGGCAUUAGUAUUCAAUUGUCAGAGGUGAAAUUCUUGGAUUUAUUGAAGACUAACUACUGCGAAAGCAUUUGCCAAGGAUGUUUUCAUUAAUCAAGAACGAAAGUUAGGGGAUCGAAGACGAUCAGAUACCGUCGUAGUCUUAACCAUAAACUAUGCCGACUAGGGAUCGGAUGAUG